rnacentral:lncRNA from 1 species
CUCAUGGGCGUGGUCUCAACACACAGUCAGCUGUUGGGGAUCAGAGGCCGCACUCACCGGAGCAGUGAGGCAGAACUAACUGGGAGAGGGUCCUUCUGUGACACCUACUGCAUCACCGGGCUGUGUGAAGUGACUCAGCUGCCAGAACUCACACAAUAUCAUUCUACACCAAAACCUCAUGGGAAAAAUGCUCCACGACCCUCAGGCUUAAACAGCUGUACUGGCCGCUCCCCAGAUCUCCAGCUCCCUGACCCUCAAACUCCAACUGCAGCACCAGCUCCGCCCCGGGUCUCCAGCUCCACAAUCCUCAAACUACAACAGCAGCACCAGCUCCCCUGUGGAUCUCCAGCUCAAUGACUCUCAGACUUGGGAGGCAGCACCGGCUCCCCACCAAGCCUCCAGCUCCACAACCCUCAAACUAGAAAGCAGCACCGGCUACUCCCUGGGUCUCCAGUUCCCUCAAACUUCAGCUAUAGCACUGGCUCUUCCCCGUGGCCACCAGCUCUGCAAACCUCAACUUACACAGUGGUAGCACCAGCUCCUCCCUAGGUCUCCAGCUACACGACCGUCAAAAUUGAACUGCAACACCAGCUCCUCUUUGGCCUCCAGCUCCACAAUCCUCCAACAACAACAGCAACACCGGCUCCUCCCUGAAUCUCCAGCUCAACAACCCUCAGACUUGAGAGGCAGCACCGGCACCUCCCCAAGACUCCAGCUCCAUGACCCUCAGAUUUGAACAGCGGUAGCACCAGCUCCUGUCCAGGUCUCCAGCUACACGACCGUCAAACUUGAACUGCAACACCAGCUCCUCUUCGGCCUCCAGCUCCACAAUCCUCCAACAACAACAGCAACACCGGCUCCUCCCUGAAUCUCCAGCUCAACAACCCUCAGACUUGAGAGGCAGCACCGGCACCUCCCCAAGGCUCCAGCUCCAUGACCCUCAGAUUUGAACAGCGGUAGCACCAGCUCCUGUCCAGGUCUCCAGCUUCAUGAUCCUUAAACUAGAACAGCAGCACCACCACCUCCCUAGGUUUCCAGCUCCACGACCCUAAGACAUGAAUGGCAGGACCGGGUUCCCCGCUAGGGCUCCAGCUCCAAGACCCACAGAUAUAAACGGCAGCACCGGCUCUUCCUGGGAUCUCCAGCUCCACAGCCUUCAAACACGAUCAGCAGCACCAGCUCCCCUCUGGUUCUCCAGCUCCACAAUCCUCAGACAUGAACAGCAGCACAGGCUCCUCCUUGGGUCUCCAGCUUCUCUACCCUCAGACUAGAACAGCAACACUUGUUCCUCCCUGGGUCUCCAGCUCUUACAAGUCUCAGACUUGAAAGGCAGCACUGGCUCCUCAGAAAGUUUCUGGCUCCAAGCUGGUGCUGCUGUCCUAGUUUGAAGGUCAUGGAGCUGGAGACCCGGGGAGGAACCAUUUGAACAGCAGCACUGGCCCCUCCCCGGGUCUCAGGCUCCACGACCCUCAGACUUAAAAAGCCGUAGUACGGGCUUCUCCCUGGGUCUCCAUCUCUACAACCCUCAGACAUGAACAGCAGCAGCACCGCCCCCUCCCCCUGUCUCCAGUUCCACGAACCUCAAACUACAACAGCAGUACCGGCCUCUCCCCAGGUCUCCAGAUCCACGACCCUCAAAAUAGAAUGGCAUCACCGGCUCCUCCCUGGGUCUCCAGCUCCCAAACUCUCAAACUUCAAUUGACACACCGGACCCUCCCCACAGUUAAACAGCAGCACGGGCUGUUCCCCAAAGCUCCAGAUCCACGACCCUCUGACUUAAAGGGCGAUAGCACCAACUCCUCCCUAAGUCUCCAGUUCCACGACCCUCAAACUACACAGCAGCACCGGCUCCUCCUUGGGUCUCCAGCUUCACUACACUCAGACUAGAAUAGCAACACCGGUUCCUCCCUGGAACUCCAGCUCAAUGACUCUCAGACUUGAAAGGCAGCACCAGCUCCUCAAAAAGGUUCUGGCUCCAAGACCCUCGAACUAGAAUAGCAGCAGCUGCUGCAUCUUGGGUCUCCAGCUCCACAACCCUCAAAGUAGAAAAGCAGCCCUGGCUCCUCCCCGAGUCUCCAACUCCUCAAGUCUGAGGGUUGUAGAGCUGGAGACCCGGGGAGGAGUCAGUGCUGCUGUUCUAGUUUGAGGGUCAUGGAUCUGGAGACCCAGGGUGGAGCCGGUGCUGCUGUUCUAGUGUGAGGGUCAUGGAGCUGGAAGACCCCGGGAGGAGCUGCUGCUGCUGUUCUAGUGUGAGGGUCAUGGAGCUGGAAGACCCCGGGAGGAGCUGCUGCUGCUGUCCUAGUUUGAAGGUCAUGGAGCUGGAGACCCCGGAAUGAGCCAUUUGAACAGCAGCACUGGCCCCUCCCCAGGUCUCAGGCUCCACGACCCUCAGACUUAAAAAGCCGUAGUACGGGCUUCUCCCUGGGUCUCCAGCUCUACAACCCUCAGACAUGAACAGCAGCACCGGCUCCUCCCCCUGUCUCCAGUUCCACGAACCUCAAACUACAACAGCAGUACCGGCCUCUCCCCAGGUCUCCAGAUCCAUGACCCUCAAAAUAGAAUGGCAUCAUCAGCUCCUCCCUGGGUCUCCAGCUCCCAAACCCUCAAACUUCAACUAACACAGCAGAUCCUCCCCACAGUUAAACAGCAGCACGGGCUGUUCCCCAAAGCUCCAGAUACACGACCCUCAGUAGCACUGGCUCCUCCCAAGGUCUCCAGUUCCAUGACCCUCAAACUACACAGCAGCACCGGCUCCUCCCCAGGUCUAUAGCUCCACCACCCUCACACUAGACAUCAAGACUACCUCCUUCCCGCUCUCCAGCUACACGACCCUCAAACUUGAACAGCAGCAGCAGCUCCUCCCUAGAUUUCCAGCUCCAUGACCCUAAACCUGCAACAGCAGCACCAGCUCCUCCCUGUACCUCAAGCCCCAUGACCCUCUGACUUGAUCAACAGCAACAGCAGCUCCCUCCCUGGUCUCCAGCUCCACAACCUUCAGCCUUAAACAGCAGCAGCACCAGCUCCUCCCUGGGUCUCCAGCUCCACAACCCUCAGACUAGAACCGCACCCCUCCUCCCUGAGUCUCCAGCUCCAUGACCGUCAAACUACAACAGCAACACAGGUUCCUGUCUGGAUCUCCAGCUCAGCAACUCUCAGAUGAGGCAGCACCGGCAACUCACCAAGGCUCCAGCUCCACAACCCUCAGAUUUGAAUAAUGGUAGCACCAGCUCCUGUCCAGAUCUCCAGCUUCAUGAUCCUUAAACUAGAACAGCAGCACCGCUGCCUCCCUGGGUUUCCAGCUCCACGACCCUAAGACAUGAAUGGCAGAACCGGCUUCCCACAAGGGUUCCAGCUCCAGGACCCACAGAUUUAAAUGGCAGCACUGGCUCUUCCCAGGAUUUCCAGCUCCACUACCCUCAAACUAGAAGAGGAGCACCGGCUCCUCCCUGGGUCUCCAGCUCCCAAACCCUCAGACAUCACCUGACACACUGGAUCCUCCCCACAGUUACAUAGCAGCACGGGCUGUCCCCGAAAACUCGAGAUCCACAACCCUCUGACUUCAAUGGCGGUAGUACUGGUUCCUCCCUAGGUCUCCAGUUCCAUGACCCUCAAACUACACAGCAGCACCAGCUCCUCCCCAGGUCUACAGCUCCACCACCCUCACACUAGACACCAGGACUACCUCCUCCCCGCUCUCCAGCUACACGACCCGCAGAUUUGAACAGCAGCAGCGUCUCCUCCCUGUACCUCAAGCCCCAUAACCCUCAUAUAUGAACAACAGCAAUACCAGCUAAUGCCUAGGGCUCCAGCUCCAGGAUCCACAGAUUUAAACUGCAGCACCAGCUCGUCCAAGGAUCUCCAGCUCCACCACCCUCAGACUAGAACAAGACCUCUACUCCCUGGGUCGCGAGCUUCCGGACCCUCGAACUAUGAAAACAUUGCUCCUCCCUGGGUCCGCAGCUCCACGACCCUCAAACCAGAUCAAGAUCUCUCCUCCCUGUGUCGUCAGCUUCCUGACCCUUGAACUAUGACAACAUUGCUCCUCCCUGGGUCAGCAGCUCCACAACCCUCAAACCAGAUCAAGAUCUCUCCUCCCUGGGUCGCCAGCUUCCUGACCCUCGAACAACAGAAACAUUACUCCUCCCUGGGUCAGCAGCUCCAUGAUCCUCAAACUAGAAUGAGACCUCUCCUCCCUGCGUCGCCAGCUUCUGGACCCUUGAACUAUGAAAAUAUUGCUCCUCCCUGGGUCGGGAGCUCCAUGACCCUCAAACUAGAACAAGACCUCUCCUCCCUAGGUCUGCAGCUUCCAGUCCCUCAAAUAACAACAUUGCUCCUCCCUGGAUCUGCAGCUCCACGACCCUCAGACUAGAACACGAUCUGUCCUCCCUGGGUCACCAGCUUCCGAACCUUCGAACUAAAACAACAUUGCUCCUCCCUGGGUCUGCAGCUCCACGACCCUCAAACUAGAAAAAGACCUCUCCUCACUGUGUCGCCAGCUUCUGGACCCUCGAACUACAAAAACAUUGCUCCUGCCUGGGUCUGCAGCUCCACGACCCUCAAUCCAGAUCAAGAUCUCUCCUCCCUGUGUCAUCAGCUUCCUGACCCUCGAACUAUGACAGCAUUGCUCCUCCCUGGGCGCACCCUCAAACUAGAACAAGACCUCUCCACCCUGCGUCGCCAGUUUCCGGAGCCUCAAACUAAAACAACCUUGCUCCUCCCUGGGUCUGCAGCUCCACAACCCUCAAACUAGAACCAGACCUCUCCUCCCUGUGUUGCCAGCUUCCUGACCCUUGAACUAUGGAAACAUGGCUCCUCCCUAGGUCUGCAGCUCCACGACCCUCAAACUAAAACAAGAUCUCUCCUCCCUGGGUCUGCAGCUCCACGACCCUCAAACUAAAACAAGAUCUCUCCUCCCUGUGUCAUCAGCUUCCAGUCCCUCAAAUAACAACAUUGCUCCUCCCUGGGUCUGCAGCUCCACGACCCUCAAACUAAAACAAGACCUCUCCUCUCUAGGUCUGCAGCUUCCAGUCCCUCAAAUAACAACAUUGCUCCUCCCUGGAUCUGCAGCUCCAUGACUCUCAGACUACAACAAGAUCUCUCCUCCCUGGGUCACCAGCUUCCGGACCCUCGAACUACGAAAACAUUGCUCCUCCCUGGGUCUCCAGCUCCAUGACCCUCAAACUAAAACAAGAUCUCUCCUCCCUGUGUCAUCAGCUUCCAGUCCCUCAAAUAACAACAUUGCUCCUCCCUGGGUCUGCAGCUCCACGACCCUUAAACUAGAACAAGACCUCUCCUCACUGUGUCGCCAGCUUCCGGACCCUUGAACUAUGAAAACAUUGCUCCUCCCUGGGUCCGCAGCUCCACGACCCUCAAACUAAAACAAGAUCUCUCCUCCCUAGGUCUGCAGCUUCCAGUCCCUCAAAUAACAACAUUGCUCCUCCCUGGAUCUGCAGCUCCACGACCCUCAGACUAGAACAAGACCUCUCCUCCCUGAGUCACCAGCUUCCGAACCUUCGAACUAAAACAACAUUGCUCCUCCCUGGGUCCGCAGCUCCAUGACCCUCAAACUAGAACAAGACCUCUCCUCCCUAGGUCUGCAGCUUCCAGUCCCCAAAUAACAACAUUGCUCCUCCCUGGAUCUGCAGCUCCACGACCCUCAGACUAGAACAAGAUCUCUCCUCCCUGGGUCACCAGCUUCCGGACCCUGGAACUACAAAAACAUUGCUCCUCCCUGGGUCUGCAGCUCCACAACCCUCAAACUAAAACAAGAUCUCUCCUCCCUGUGUUGCCAGCUUCCGGACCCUCGAACUAUGACAACAUUGCUCCUCCCUGGGUCUGCAGCUCCACGACCCUCAAAGCAGAUCAAGAUCUCUCCUUCCUGUGUCAUCAGCUUCCUGACCCUUGAACUAUGACAACAUUGCUCCUCCCUGGGUCUGCAGCUCCAUGACUCUCAAACUAGAACAGCAGCACCAGCUCCUUCCUGGACCUCCAGGUCAAUGACUCUCAGACUUCAAAGGCAGCAGCAGCUCCACCCCCAGGCUCCAGCUCUAAAACCCUCAGAUGUGAGCAGUGGCAGCACCAGCUCCUUUCUGCGUCUCCGGCUUCAUGAUCCUUAAAUUAGAACAGCAGCGCCAUCUUCUCCCUGCGUCUCCAGCUCCAGGAACCUCAAACUGCAACAGGAGCACCUGUUCCUCUGGGAUUUUCACCUCCACGACCCUGAGGUGUCAGUGGCAGCACUGGCUCCUCCCCUGGGCUGCAGCUCCAGAACCCUCAAGAAUAAUCCCUUCUCAUGAAAUGUAGCAGUCAGGAAAACUGCAGAGGAAGUAAAUAAAUAAAUGUUUUCUUUCAAACUGAUGUUUCUUUUAUAUUCACACAAGUCAGGAAACUUUUCUACUUUCCAUCAAC